rnacentral:tRNA from 5 species
GCUGAAAUGGCGGAAUGGCAGACGCCGGAGACUUAAAAUCUCCUGUCCUAUGGGCGUGCGGGUUCGAGUCCCGCUUUCAGCACCA